CGAGUGUUUGGGCGUUAAACCCAUACGCGGAAUGAAAGUGAACGUAGGUGAGAACCCGUCAGGGUGCAUCAUCGACCGAUCCUGAUGUCUUCGGAUGGAUUUGAGUACGAGCAUAGCUGUUGGGACCCGAAAGAUGGUGAACU
rnacentral:ncRNA from 1 species